GGCCAGAUCAAGAUGAAACGCCGGAUCCCGUACGAUCACCAAAGUUAAGCGACGCCGAACCUGGUCAGUACAUAGAUGGGUGACUGCUUGGAAAUACCGGGUGCUGUAA